rnacentral:rRNA from 1 species
UACAGAGGUGGCAAGCGUUGUUCGGAAUCACUGGGCUUAAAGGGCGCGCAGGCGCCCGACAGGGUGUCUUGUGAAAUCCCCCGGCUUAACCGGGGAACUGCGAGGCAAACCGGUCGGCUUGAGGCAGGUAGGGGCCGAUGGAACUCUGGGUGGAGCGGUGAAAUGCGUAGAUAUCCAGGGGAACGCCAAUGGUGAAAACAGUCGGCUGGGCCUGUCCUGACGCUGAGGCGCGAAAGCCAGGGGAGCAAACGGG